UUUCCGUAGGUGAACCUGCGGAAGGAUCAUUACUGAGUGAGGGCCCCUCGGGGUCCAACCUCCCACCCGUGUUUAACGAACCUUGUUGCUUCGGCGGGCCCGCCUCACGGCCGCCGGGGGGCAUCUGCCCCCGGGCCCGCGCCCGCCGAAGCCACCUGUGAACGCUGUCUGAAGUAUGCAGUCUGAGACAAUUAUUAAAUUUAUUAAAACUUUCAACAACGGAUCUCUUGGUUCCG
rnacentral:misc_RNA from 1 species